UACGGAGGGUGCAAGCGUUAUCCGGAUUCACUGGGUUUAAAGGGUGCGUAGGCGGGCAGGUACGUCCGUGGUGAAAUCUCUGAGCUUAACUCAGAAACUGCCAUGGAUACUAUUUGUCUUGAAUAUUGUGGAGGUAAGCGGAAUAUGUCAUGUAGCGGUGAAAUGCUUAGAUAUGACAUAGAACACCAAUUGCGAAGGCAGCUUACUACACAGUUAUUGACGCUGAGGCACGAAAGCGUGGGGAUCAAACAGG
rnacentral:rRNA from 1 species